GUGGGGAAUAUUGGACAAUGGGCGAAAGCCUGAUCCAGCCAUGCCGCGUGUGUGAAGAAGGUCUUCGGAUUGUAAAGCACUUUAUGUUGGGAGGAAGGGCAGUAAGUUAAUACCUUGCUGUUUUGACGUUACCGACAGAAUAAGCACCGGCUAACUUCGUGCCAGCAGCCGCGGUAAUACGAAGGGUGCAAGCGUUAAUCGGAAUUACUGGGCGUAAAGCGCGCGUAGGUGGUUUUGUAAGUUGGAGGUGAAAUCCCCGGGCUCAACCUGGGAACUGCCUCCAAAACUGCAUGACUAGAGUACGGUAGAGGGUAGUGGAAUUUCCUGUGUAGCGGUGAAAUGCGUAGAUAUAGGAAGGAACACCAGUGGCGAAGGCGACUACCUGGACUGAUACUGACACUGAGGUGCGAAAGCGUGGGGAGCAAACAGGAUUAGAUACCCCGGUAGUCC
rnacentral:rRNA from 1 species